AAAUUAAAUAAAUCCUAGAUGAAAAACGAAAAUUGAAAGCUAAUCCUAAUAAAAUAGGAAACACAAAAAACUAAAUCUUCACCAUGAUAUUCUCAAACAGGAAGUAAAAAAAUGUGUUGGACUCAAAGGGCACUUUUGGAGACAUGUUUGAAUCAGCUUGGACCAUCCAAUUUUUGGUCCCAUCGUAAAGAGCACCACAUCAUGCUGCCCCACUUUUA
rnacentral:misc_RNA from 1 species